GUCAGUUCAACAUGCUAGAGUUUCUCUUUCAGGCACCUCAGCACCUCUGAACCUCUGCCAGGCACGUGGACUUAUAUCUGUGGUCUAGGGCAGACAUCAUCUGUGGGAGUGCAGAGGUAUUAAAUUAGGAGAGAUCUGCAACCAAAAACCAAGCCGAGCUCCAGGAAUCCAGAUGAAGAGAAGGAGGAAGGAAUAUAUGAGCAAGGGAGGUCAAUAUCAUGAUGCAGAAAUCAACAGAGACAACUGAACCUAGCUUGUGGAAACUCAUGAAUGCUAGACUGACAGUUGCAGAGACCCGAGGGGACCGAACAAGGCCCUUGAUAUGUGGGAGACAGUUGUGAAGUUUGGACUAGCUGAAGCAGCCCUGGCAGUAGGACCAUAUACAAACCUGGUGCCUGAGUCAGCUUGUUGGAGCCCAUUCCCCAUGUUGGGAUGCCAUGCUCAGCGUUAAGGGUCUCCUACUGCUCAGGCUAUCAUGAAACUCAGGAUGGAGAAGAGAAAAUCCCAAACUUCUGAUACUCCUCCCGCUUCUACAUCAGAAGUUCUUGUCCCACAGACUCAGAAGACAAUAACAGACAAUUAUAUGGGUGAUAUUAUUUUAUUAUUAUUAACUGCAAAUUUCCCCCAAGGAGUGUAUAUGCAUGAAGA